AGUCGAGCGAACAGAUGAGGAGCUUGCUCCUCUGACGUUAGCGGCGGACGGGUGAGUAACACGUGGAUAACCUACCUAUAAGACUGGGAUAACUUCGGGAAACCGGAGCUAAUACCGGAUAAUAUAUUGAACCGCAUGGUUCAAUAGUGAAAGACGGUUUUGCUGUCACUUACAGAUGGAUCCGCGCCGCAUUAGCUAGUUGGUAAGGUAACGGCUUACCAAGGCAACGAUGCGUAGCCGACCUGAGAGGGUGAUCGGCCACACUGGAACUGAGACACGGUCCAGACUCCUACGGGAGGCAGCAGUAGGGAAUCUUCCGCAAUGGGCGAAAGCCUGACGGAGCAACGCCGCGUGAGUGAUGAAGGUCUUCGGAUCGUAAAACUCUGUUAUUAGGGAAGAACAAAUGUGUAAGUAACUAUGCACGUCUUGACGGUACCUAAUCAGAAAGCCACGGCUAACUACGUGCCAGCAGCCGCGGUAAUACGUAGGUGGCAAGCGUUAUCCGGAAUUAUUGGGCGUAAAGCGCGCGUAGGCGGUUUUUUAAGUCUGAUGUGAAAGCCCACGGCUCAACCGUGGAGGGUCAUUGGAAACUGGAAAACUUGAGUGCAGAAGAGGAAAGUGGAAUUCCAUGUGUAGCGGUGAAAUGCGCAGAGAUAUGGAGGAACACCAGUGGCGAAGGCGACUUUCUGGUCUGUAACUGACGCUGAUGUGCGAAAGC
rnacentral:rRNA from 1 species